rnacentral:rRNA from 1 species
AUUGAACGCUGGCGGCAAGCCUAACACAUGCAAGUCGAACGAGUGGCGGACGGGUGAGUAAUGUCUGGGAAACUGCCUGAUGGAGGGGGAUAACUACUGGAAACGGUAGCUAAUACCGCAUACCAUCGGAUGUGCCCAGAUGGGAUUAGCUAGUGGGUGGGGUAAAGGCUCACCUAGGCGACGAGCCCUAGCUGGUCUGAGAGGAUGACCAGCCACACUGGAACUGAGCCACGGUCCAGCCUCCUACGGGAGGCAGCAGUGGGGAAUAUUGCACAAUGGGCGCAAGCCUGAUGCAGCCAUGCCGCGUGUAUGAAGAAGGCCUUCGGGUUGUAAAGUACUUUCAGCGGGGAGGCGUUACCCGCAAAAGAAGCACCGGCUAACUCCGUGCCAGCAGCCGCGGUAAUUC